GAGAGAGGCUUGCAAGCAACAAAGACUGCUAACCCUUGUUUCUCUGGUUGAAAUCCAGAGCUCCCUCA
rnacentral:tRNA from 1 species